GCACUCUUAGCUCAAUUGAAUAGAGCAUCUGACUUCGGAUCAGAAGGUUAGGGGUUUAACUCCCUUAGAGUGCGCCA
rnacentral:tRNA from 1 species